GAGUCACCCGCCCAGGAGGGGCCGGGUUAUGUCAUAAUGAGAUCAUCACGUGAAGCCCAGUACCAAGCUUGAGGAUGGCGGAUCAAUAAUGGGCUUAAGACCCGGAGGCGGCUUAAGGCCCGUAGUGAUAAACCGCCGUUAUGGCAAGACUUGUAAUGUAAGGCAAGAGUAGUUAAGAGUCCGAGCCGGAUACUGUUAUAAGCCGGCCGGGACUCUGAGAGCCGCUGGGCGUCAACCUCUCUAUAUAAAGGGACGACCCGGCGGCGGUUCAGGAAGAGGGAGAACAGAUCGAUAGCUAGGCAUAGCAAUUAAGCUCCCUGGUCAUCGAAACCCUAAGUAAUACCACCCCCACUGGACGUAGGCUUUUACCUUCACCGUAAGGGGCCGAACCAGUAUAAUCCUCGUGUUCCUUGUCCCUCUUAACCCCUUUAAGCUUCCUAGCUGCGAUGGCUCCACGACUAAGUCCUUGCACGAGGACAUCUGCCGUGACAAUUCCACGACACACAUAUCUUUAACAAUGCACUAUGUUCUGACAUCAAGCAGGUCUAGUGGCUUAUUUUAGUGACUCAGAAAAAAUGGAGGAUCUUGCACAAGGAUGUGAACCUUCCACAAGUGGAUGCUCUAGCUCAGGGACACUCUACAUGGAUAAGCUCAGAGGUGGAGCUAUGUGUACUCCAGCCCCCCGAACUUUGACCAUGUUUUGAAGGUAAAAAUCUGGAUGGCUUAGGUUCAAAAAGUUUGGAUAUAGAUGGGUUGUGGGAGAUGGUACCAAAAUUAGGUUCUGGGAGGCCAUUUCGUUUAGGACAUCUCCUCCUUCUAUCCAAUUCUGGCCCUUGUAUUGCAUUUGUCACCAGCAAUGCUCUCACAUUUGGGACUCACCUUUAUGAGGAACUCUUCUUGUGCUAUGAUGGAAUCCUUGUAUAUCCUUGAACAAAUUGUGACUCUCAUUUGGCAACAUGAAUCUAAAGGUGAAUAUUCAACCAGUUCUUUGUAUAGCAUUAUCAACUUUAGGGGUGUUCAACCCAUAUACAUACCGUUUGUCUGGUAUAUUUUGGUGCCCCCCUAAAGUUCAAGUUUUCCUCUGGCUAUUAUCUCAGAACAAGCUUAUGACUAGCAGAUGGGUCUUUGUAGUCGAUCUCUUCCGGCGUGUUUGAGGGGUCGUCGUGCCUCACUUUGUCUUUCUGAAGUCGGAGCUGCUGAGGAGGGUCCCUUGCGGUGAUGAUGACUAAUACCUCCUUUUAGUGAUUCGAUAAUGCAAUAGAAAAGUGUAUCCCACACCUAUUUCCCCAGAGGAGACCCUGGGUUAUUGAACCACGAAAGGAAGAUCCCCUUGAAGCAAUGGUCUCUAGCAAGCUUUUGUCAAAGGAUCAAUUCCAGCUUUUGACCGGAUCAAUUAAGCAAACAGUGAUUCAAACACUUAUAAUAAAAAGAGGUACGUGUAUGAGGUUUUAAUGCUUACAACCAUGUAUUUGUGUUGGUACUAGAUAUGAUCUUAAUUUGUGCGCCGGAAGUUGCUCACUGAGAUGUGCUUGUUACGAACCGAAGUGGGAGAUGUGUCUGAAUAACAUCUUGACCGACAUGAGUCAUGCAUCAAGAAUCAAUUGCCCUACCACAGGCCCUAUCGGUCGCGCAGAGUUGCCUUGAUAAUUAAGAUAAUGAAAUCAGACAAGAGCUUUGGGCAUUUAAUGACUACACCUCAUGUAUCCCCAAGGAUAGGAUCCAUGUUACCCUACUAAACCUUAAUGUCACUGGUGUUCUGUACAACUCUUCACGGUCUCCUUGCUCCUAGCCUCACUGUGACUCGAUCUCCAUGAUCCUGGGUACCUGCAGGGAUGAAGAUCGCAGACAAGACAAGAGACAUCUAUGGAACAAUUUUAUUGCACACAUACGGGGUGUUAACUCAAAGCCCUUCCAUUGAUCCCCACAAUAAAUAUAGAGGGUUGCAAGACCUAUGCCUCAACCCAUACCUUACCAAACUACUCACGUAUGGAGAUCAGAUCGCGAGAAGAAAACAUUGAAGAAUACAUAUUGAAGAUUGAUUGAUUGCAAAUAUGUCUUACAAUGGAUGCCUUGUGCGAUGCACGAUUACAAGUAUGAACUAGACGAGGAAGCACUAUGGUGGGGAUGGUGGCUAUGGAGAUGGAAAUGGCGACUACUAGGGUUUGUGGAUGAAGAUGAUGAUGAUAAUGUUCUGGCUUCUGUCGAUGCUCACCUGUUGACAUGUCUAUGGGGUCCUCUUUAUAAAAGUUGUUCAAGUGGACAAUCUGCCUCAGUUUCCAUGCCAUACGGGCGCUUUCGUCCGUAUGGAAUGUCGUCUUUUGUGCUAUCUUUGCAGACACGCCUCUUGUUGUUUCCUUCUUUCUUCAUUUCCCUUCCUUUCCAUUUCCACGCAUGAUUUCUUCCCUUUUUAGCCCAUUUUGUGUGGAAAGACAUCAAAGAGAGGAUUUGUGGAAUCCUUUGCAUUCAUUAGUCAUUAGUGGUAAUAUCAGAGCGAAUAUCACUUUUUAAAUGAAAUAUAUCGGUUUAAACUAAGGUAGAUGAGUGUAAAAAUAUCACUCAUCAAUGACACGAGACAGGUGGUCGUUUCCGGCGCUGGCUCAGCGCAAGCCCAAUGCUUUUCUCCCGCAAUGCUCGUCAAGAGAGCCGGAACUGCCUGGUCACCGGCGCGUGCGGUUGACUGUUUGGCAUUUAUAGGUGCGGACCUCCAUGCUUGUUUGCGGUGAGGGCUACAUCAAGGUCGUCAAUGGUGGAGUCGAGUCACCCUUGCGGAGGAGUGAGCACGAUGACACCGGACUGCAAUCUCGAUGACGCUUUUCUCCUCGACGGCCUGUGUUCAUUCUUGUGUGGGUUGCCAGGUCGCCAUGUGUGCCUUGUUUUUCAGACGUGGUGUGAUGGUUUUUGCCGGUUUUCCAUUAGUUAACCGGGCAACUCUCUUCGAUCUUUUUUGAAUGAAUCAGAUACUAAGGGGAGGGCCGCGUUUCAAAGAAAAAACUGCAGAAAAGGAGUAUCAUCAAACCACUAGACUGUGUUUUCUGUUCAUAGCAUGACACCAUCUCACUUCUUUUCUUUGAUUGUGUGGUUGGUAAAGAACUUUGGAAGCAUCCCUCUAGUGUUGUCAAAAUUAAUGUGGGUGCUGGUUACUUUUCUAUUGCUAGAUUUUGGCCCGCGGAUAACAAAACAUAGUUGGCCUGAGAAUAACAUCAAUCAUGUCUAGUAGCUUAUUCUAGGAUGUGUUUGGUUAGAGGGACAUGCUAGUGUGGUUAUGGGUAUCCCCAACCGCCCAUUUAGGGAUAGACAUUUUUUUGUUUGGUUGGUGUGUGAGGUUAGCCAUGUUUUGUUUGGUUUGGACUUUGGAUGAUGAAUCAUGGUUGGGGAUAACCAUUCCUGGAAGAAAAUCAAGGAUAUCAAAGAGAUGUCCCCUCGCUCCCCGGCCCCUUUGUCCAUUGAGCUGCUGUUGCACAACAAACUAAGGAUUAACACUUUGGAGAGCUACCCCUACCCCGCGUCCGACCCCGCGUCGUCCUCAACCGGGCGACACGGGGGACACAACUACCAGCCGCCGCCGGCCUCUCCCUCACCUCCCUCCCUACCCCCGCCGCUGCCGGAGGAGGCCGGCCGACGGCGGACGGCGGCGGCGGGGCGUCCUUAGAGUUUCCUUCCUUUUUCCCCUCGCCCUAGCUCAUUCUCCCAUCCCCACAUCCAUGUCGAUCUGAUCUGAUCUGAUUGCUAAGACAACCCUGGCCAAGAUAGUGGCGCCAAUCUCGCCGUGGACAGCGGCGUUCAGUCACAACGGCGAGGCGCGCGCCCCUCCAGCCGCGGUCGUCCAUAGUGACGGAGGCGAGGGGCAUGAUGCCAUCCGCGGCUGCCCACAGAUGUUUCUUGUCUGGUACAGUUGUGUGGCCUUUUCCCGGGAUCUUCGGCGCUAAGCACGGAUCACAGUGACGAGGUACAAGCGGCGGCACCACCACAUCGUAUUAUCCACCUCGUCGGCCAAAAAUUAACGGAGGUGGAUAUGUCUAGAUGGAUUGAAGGCCAGAUGUUCUACACACGUAUACUGUGUGAACUUGGUAAUGGCGGUGAUGUAGAAGAAGACUGGAUGGGACAGAUCGAAAGAAGUUUGCGUGUUGGACAAUUGGAAUUUUGCAGCAGUAAUCUCGACGAGUGGGGCAGCAACACUGGCAGACUUCGUUCUUGGUGGUCUCAGUUUCCGGGGUGAAAACCCUAGGUCUUGUACCUGACAAUGGCGGCUUCCUAGUCGUUUCCUUGUUGAAGGCAUUGUUUGGAGAUUGGACCUUCUCCAGGGUGAAAAUCCAGGAUCUGACUGUGAUAGUUGGACCGGACGACGAUAGUAUUUGUGCACUAUAACCUUUCUGAAGGCGUCGUUUUUGGAGAAUCCUUUUCGGAGUCUACGUGUUGCCAUCACUAGUGGUGCUCUUGCAGCUGUGAGCCUUUCUUUGUUUCGACGGGGCCUUUGUUUUUUUCUCUUCUUUUAUUUUUUGGUCGUGUGCAUCCGUGAUGUCUAGAGACUAGAGUUGCUCUAGAUAUUAUGCUGUUGCAGAGGCUGGGUGUAAUUGGUAGCAUCUUGAUAUUAAUAUAUUCCCUUUGUCGAAAAAAAACACUUUGGAGAGAAAAAUCAAGGGGAGGUAGCACGCACCAGUACACCACGCACACGCAACAUAGCAUGCGCAGACCACACACACCACGCCUAGUGAGUACAUCCUGCAUGCGCAUACGACACAUACCACGGCCGGUGAGUACAUCACGCAUGCCCAGCCGGAGAGAAACCGCCUCCAUCCCUAGGGCUCCAACGGCCGCGCGCGACACUCACUGGUGUCUGCCGCCUCCAUGACCUAUGCCGGGUUAACGUUGCAACCCCGAUGCACAUAGAUGGUCGAUAGAGGAAGAAGAGAUGGCACGACAAGUAAAGAACGCAAGGAGAGACCCAUGCCGUCGCCUCUCACCUCUCAAUUACCGUGCUCCGAUCUAUUGGGUUGGCCUUUUGUGUGAGAGGUGAACGAAAUAAGACCGAGAAAACGUUUCGCGGCCUGCCUUUGCAUCGUGCGUGCGCUCAGGAUGCCCAGAUCUGCGAGAUUUUCGCGGACAGGUAGAGCCUCGUUUUGCGGGAAUAUUCCGAGCAUCCGGCCAUCCCUAUUCCUACUCACCCACCAACCAAAUACUAACAAGUAUCCAUGCAAAAGUACGAUUAUCCCUAUCCCGAACAGUGAUAACCCAUCAUCUAAACACAUCCCUGUAGUCAUCGCCAUGGAUGUGGUUGCAGCAAAAAAAACUCGAUCUACUUCCCCAACAACUCGCAAUGCCCUAAACACCUCGGUUGAAAAACACCCCGCACCGCCGCUACACCUCGCCGUUGUUCUUGGUUGCAACUCUUAUUUGCACGAGCGUGAAAGCAAAAAAUGUUGACACCGGUGGUAGCAAAAAUUGACAAUAAUCGCAGCAAAAACCACAUAGUUGUGGGUCUCGGUAACAUCAUGAGAAAA